CCUACGGGAGGCAGCAGUGGGGAAUAUUGGGCAAUGAGCGCAAGCCUGACCCAGCAACGCCGCGUGAAGGAAGAAGGCUUUCGGGUUGUAAACUUCUUUUGUCAGGGACGAAGCAAGUGCCGGUACCUGACGAAUAAGCCACGGCUAACUACGUGCCAGCAGCCGCGGUAAUACGUAGGUGGCAAGCGUUAUCCGGAUUUAUUGGGUGUAAAGGGCGUGUAGGCGGGAAUGCAAGUCAGAUGUGAAAACUAUGGGCUCAACCCAUAGCCCGCAUUUGAAACUGUAUGUCUUGAGUGCUGGAGAGGCAAUCGGAAUUCCGUGUGUAGCGGUGAAAUGCGUAGAUAUACGGAGGAACACCAGUGGCGAAGGCGGAUUGCUGGACAGUAACUGACGCUGAGGCGCGAAAGCGUGGGGAGCAAACAGGAUUAGAUACCCCGGUAGUC
rnacentral:rRNA from 1 species